rnacentral:rRNA from 1 species
GACGAACGCUGGCGGCGUGCCUAAUACAUGCAAGUCGAACGCAGUGGGGACGGGUGAGUAACACGUGGGUAACCUCCCAUCAGAGGGGAUAACACUUGGAAACAGGUGCUAAACCGAUACUGAUGGAUGGACCCGCGGUGCAUUAGCUAGUUGGUGAGGUAACGGAUCACCAAGGCCACGAUGCAUAGCAGACCGAACAGAAGGAGCGGCAACACUGGGCCUAAGAGACGGCCCAGACUCCUCCGGGAGGCAGCAGUAGGGAAUCUUCGCAAAUGGACGAAAGUCUGACCCAGCAACGCCGCGUGAGUGAUGAAGGCUUUCGGAUCGUAAACCUCUGUUGUUAGUGAAGCGGUAUCUAACCAGGAAGCCACGGCGAACUACGUGCCAGCAGCCGCGGUAAUAC